rnacentral:tRNA from 1 species
GCCGAAAUAGCUCAGAUUGGCAGAGCAGUUGAUUUGUAAUCAACCGGUCGUCGGUUCGAUUCCGACUUUCGGCUCCG